rnacentral:lncRNA from 12 species
GGGUUCUGCAAGGAAAGUGAAAAAUGACAUAAAUGAGCUGCAACAACAGCCCAUUUCUGGCAAGGACUACAAGGAACUGGAGCAUAUUUAAGUGGAAGUUCACUGCCCUGGUGGGCACCUGGGUUUUUUAACUGGCCUCUGAGACACACCUGAGGCAACCGCGGCACAAAGCAUUCCAAGGAAAACCACGGACACCUUUGACUGGAACUCAAAGCAGCACAAUGAUGUUUCCUUUUGUUUCAAUCAUUCCAAUUCCAGAUCAGAUACCCCAGUGGGUUUGGGUGCUGCCCCAGGGACUGCAACACCUCGCACCUCUGAGCCCCUGCUGUGAUGAAAAGCUGCAGAGAAAAC